AUCAAGGUGCCAGCAAGGUUGGUUCCUGAGACUGUUCCUGCCUUUCUCUCUGAGCUUCCAGUGGCUGCCAGCAGUCCCAUGGACGCCGCCCAUGGACGCAUCGCUCCAGUCUCUGCCUCCACCAUCACGUGGUGUUGUCCCCUCUGUGACCUCACUGUCUCUUCUCUUCAUAUAAGGACACCAGUCAUAUUGGAUUAAGGGCCUACCCACUCUGGGAUUUGGAGGCCUUUGGGACAGAGUGAAGACUUUGGACGCCCACUCAGGAUAAAGCCACCACACCAGGACGCCGUUGAGAGGAGACUCAGAGCCUGAGUUCACCAAGGACAAACCCUGAGCAGAUAACAGUGGCAUCUUCUGGGGAGGGCUGUAGCACUGGGGGCCUCAGGGGAGGAUUUUCCUUGUUGCUCCCUGUAUUUUGGUAUGAUGUGAC